ensembl:rRNA 5S_rRNA 5S ribosomal RNA
GCCUACGGCCAUACCACCCUGAGAACGCCCGAUCUCGUCUGAUCUCGGAAGCUAAGCAGGGUCGGGCCCGGUUAGUACUUGGAUGGGAGACCGCCUGGGAAUACCGGGUGCUGUAGGCA